UUACAUCAUACCAAUAAUAGCAUGUGAACUUUUACUAUAAAACCAACAAAGUGCAUAGCUUUGGAUCAGUGGCAAAUAGAAUUAUCAUCACCAUAUCAUACAAAUCCUCAAACAAGAUGGGGACAUUCCAAAUGCUAACGAUAGCACUAGCUCUUCUUAUGAUUUCCGCAGGUGAUUGGAUCUUUCCAUAAAAUUUACUUAGAUUACACAUGGAUAGUUCACUCAUUUUGUUUUCGUGUUCAAGUUAAAUUCAAGAUACUAUAAUGUUCCAUGUGAGAAGAAAAAAUCAUAGCACAAUAUUUGAUUAACAAAGAAGCAACAACACUCAUCAGUAGCUCAUAACCCUUAAUAAUUUUAGAAUGAUAUGAUGACGCUAUGCGCAACACAUAUUUUUUACCUUAUCCUUCUAGUCAUAUCCUCGAUUAAUUAUUUAGUGAUACUAUACAAUGUGCAUAGUAUAUUACAAUUAUAUUGCAAUUGGAGUAUAAUAUAGUGAAGCUAGUAGUCAUUAUGUGAACAAUAAUUUAAUCAUGUUCCUUAUGUUGAGAUAUGCAGAUGUUUCAGCGAAGGCUCCAACGCAUGAUAAUGAUAUUUUACCUAAUGUAUGUGCAACUACAGUCCUAGAGCCAAAAAGGAAGUGUGAAACGGCUUGGUGCGUACAUAAUUGUGGGGAACAACCUGGAGGUGGCCGUUGCGACAAUGAUGUCUGUAUGUGCACGAUCUGUACAUUGCCUUUUACCUUAUAAAAGAAGACAGAAGGUCUAAUUUAGUUAGCAGAUUAAAGGUUGAUGUAAGGGAGGUAGCUUUUCCCUAGCUGCUUAAUGGAAAUAAUGUUCACAAUAAAAUAUUAUGUGUGAUGCAUUCCCAUGAAUUCAUAAAAAAUUAAUAGUGUUCCAUAAUUGGG
rnacentral:lncRNA from 1 species